CAGCAGCCGCGGGAAUACAGAGGGUGCGAGCGUUAAUCGGAUUUACUGGGCGUAAAGCGUGCGUAGGCGGUUCGUUAAGUCUGUUGUGAAAGCCCCGGGCUCAACCUGGGAAUGGCAAUGGAUACUGGCGAGCUAGAGUGUGUCAGAGGAUGGUGGAAUUCCCGGUGUAGCGGUGAAAUGCGUAGAGAUCAGGAGGAACAUCAGUGGCGAAGGCGGCCAUCUGGGACAACACUGACGCUGAGGCACGAAAGCGUGGGGAGCAAACAGGAUUAGAUACCCCGGUAGUCCCUGUCUCUUAUAA
rnacentral:rRNA from 1 species